rnacentral:siRNA from 1 species
UGGGCCUUAUAAUGGGCA